rnacentral:rRNA from 1 species
UCUGUUGUUAGAGAAGAACAAGGAUGAGAGUAGAACGUUCAUCCCUUGACGGUAUCUAACCAGAAAGCCACGGCUAACUACGUGCCAGCAGCCGCGGUAAUACGUAGGUGGCAAGCGUUGUCCGGAUUUAUUGGGCGUAAAGCGAGCGCAGGCGGUUUCUUAAGUCUGAUGUGAAAGCCCCCGGCUCAACCGGGGAGGGUCAUUGGAAACUGGGAGACUUGAGUGCAGAAGAGGAGAGUGGAAUUCCAUGUGUAGCGGUGAAAUGCGUAGAUAUAUGGAGGAACACCAGUGGCGAAGGCGGCUCUCUGGUCUGUAACUGACGCUGAGGCUCGAAAGCGUGGGGAGCGAACAGGAUUAGAU